rnacentral:rRNA from 1 species
GACGAACGCUGGCGGCGUGCUUAACACAUGCAAGUCGAACGGAAAGGCCCUGCUUUUGUGGGGUGCUCGAGUGGCGAACGGGGGAGUAACACGUGAGUAACCUGCCCUUGACUUUGGGAUAACUUCAGGAAACUGGGGCUAAUACCGGAUAGGAGCUCCUGCUGCAUGGUGGGGGUUGGAAAGGUUCGGCGGUUGGGGAUGGACUCGCGGCUUAUCAGCUUGUUGGUGGGGUAGUGGCUUACCAAGGCUUUGACGGGUAGCCGGCCUGAGAGGGUGACCGGCCACAUUGGGACUGAGAUACGGCCCAGACUCCUACGGGAGGCAGCAGUGGGGAAUAUUGCACAAUGGGCGGAAGCCUGAUGCAGCAACGCCGCGUGCGGGAUGACGGCCUUCGGGUUGUAAACCGCUUUCGCCUGUGACGAAGCGUGAGUGACGGUAAUGGGUAAAGAAGCACCGGCUAACUACGUG